GAUGAACGCUGGCGGCGUGCUUAAUACAUGCAAGUCGAACGGAGACGUUAUAGCAAUAUGAUGUCUUAGUGGCGAACGGGUGAGUAACGCGUUGGUGACCUGCCCCGAAGAGGGGGAUAACAGCUCGAAAGGGCUGCUAAUACCCCAUGUGGUCGCGAAGGUUAGAGGCUUUGCGAUUAAAGGAGUAAUCCACUUCGGGAGGGGCCUGCGUCCCAUCAGCUAGUUGGUAGGGUAAAAGCCUACCAAGGCGACGACGGGUAGGGGACCUGAGAGGGUGACCCCCCACACUGGCACUGAAACACGGGCCAGACACCUACGGGUGGCAGCAGUAGGGAAUAUUGCACAAUGGGCGAAAGCCUGAUGCAGCAACGCCGCGUGCGCGAUGAAGGCCUUCGGGUCGUAAAGCGCUUUUUGGGGAGAUGAGGAAGGACAGUAUCCCCGGAAUAAGGUUCGGCUAACUACGUGCCAGCCGCCGCAGUAAUAC
rnacentral:rRNA from 1 species